AAGUCUAUACUUUUAGGGAUCACUUCUACGGUUUGUAAUUAGAAUAGGUUCUCUGAUAGUGUAGAGCACCAGAAACCAAGAGGAAGAACAUCCUCCCCUGAGCAAGAAGCCAGUACUAGGUGUUGCUUUUGCAACUGCCUUUAACUGUUGACAACCAUUCUUCUCUUCCACGGGAUGAGGAAGAGGGAGAGGAUGCAGUCUGAGUGAU